AUUGUGACUUAUCUCUACACUGAUCACCCAGGAGAUGUGACUCUUGUCUAAGCUCUGCCUAGAGGGACUUUGUGACAUAACUCUGCACUGAUCAUCCAGGUGAUGGGGCUUUUGUCUAGGAUCUGCCUAAGGGGGCAUUGUGACAUAUUUCUGCACUGAUCACCCAGGUGAUGGACUCUUGUCUUGGAUCUGCCUAUGGGGGCAUUGUGACAUAUCUCUGCACUGAUCACCCAGGUGAUGUAACUGUUGUAUAAGCUCUGCCUACAGGGUAAUUGUGAGAGAUCUCGCCACUGAUCAACCAACUGUUGUAACUAUUGUCUAGGCUUUGCCUACAGGGGGCUUUGUGACAUACCUUUGCACUGAUAACCCAGGUGAUAUAACUCAUCCAAGUUCUGCCUACAGGAGCUUUGUGACAUAUCUCUGCACUGAUCACUUAGGUGAUGUAACACUUUUAUAAGCACUGCCUACAGGGAAUUUUGACAAAUCUCUGCACUGAUCACCUAGGUGAUGUAACACUUUUAUAAGCACUGCCUACAGGGAAUUCUGACAAAUCUCUGCACUGAUCACCUAGGUGAUGUAACUCUUGUCUACCCUCUGCCCAAAGGGGGCACUGUGAAAUAUCU
rnacentral:lncRNA from 10 species